UGACGCACGCGCCACCUAUAUAAAAGGCGAGCACCGGCUAAGCCGGGGCGUGGCUCCGGCGGCUCCUGCAUUGGGCCUUGAUGCUGCUCCUGUCUGCACGUGAUCCUCCAGAGCAAGACCAGAGGCAAUCCAGGGAAGACUGCUGGGAUGAAUACCUUCCAUCCUCUCCCUAUGUACCAGAAAUGGGAUCGUCUGACAGUGCCCAAUGGGCUGGAGGCCGUGAGCAUGGAGAGCAAGGGCUGCCUGAGCAGCGGACGGUGAAGAGACAGAUGGGACAUCGUUGGAACGCAGGCCCAAGGAGAGGCCCCGUGCAGCUCUCUUCAGGGACCAUCCCGGGGUGCUCGACCUGUCCCUGCAAGAAGAACACCCAUCACCACCAAUCUCUUCAUGCGUCUGCCACUGGCCACCUUUCCUACCCACCACCUGCCCAACCUGCUUCCUCCCCACACAUCUUGGCCUUGUGGCACUCCUAGCCCCACACUGUGGCCAUGCUGCAUC